rnacentral:rRNA from 1 species
AGCAGCCGCGGUAAUUCCAGCUCCAAUAGCGUAUAUUAAAGUUGUUGCAGUUAAAAAGCUCGUAGUUGAAUUUCGGGAUCAAUUAAUUGGUCGUGCCUCUGGUACGUACUGAUUUUAUUGGUUUCUCCCUUCUGACGAACCAUGAUGUCAUUAAUUUGGUGUCGUGAAGAAUC